AAUGAACGACUAUCCAUUGUCUUUGAAGAGUAAUAGAAAAGGUAAAGUGUUAUCGAAAGUGUACUCACUGUACGCUGACAGAUAAGUUGGUGAUCGACGCUACUAAUAUUUGAUUUAUACCGCAAUUGAAGCUAUAAAGAAUUUGUUUAUUGAUAUUUUAGAAUGUCUCCUGCAAGUCCUUACUUGUUGCUUAUCUCAGUAAAUUCAAGAAGAAAAGCUUAAACACAAGUAACCAUUGCCCUGUUACAGUUCAUAUCACCGAUCAGUUGAAUGAAACCUAAUAAAUAUUUAAUUUGCUUUGUCUUAGUAUCUUAAAAAAAAUCUUGUUAAAGGGCUUUUUUUUAUCACUUUCAAUAUUUAUUUUAGAAAUAAUUUCGUUAUAUACGAUUCUAGUCUAGUCAAUUCAUAUAAAAUAAACGGAUAACAAAAGCUCCCACUUUAAAAAUCGCUUUCUUCAAAGAUCUAAACUUUUUGGCCCGAGCUGUUUCUGCUUUUCAAUAACGGAAAAGAAAAACAUUGAAUAAAAUAU